rnacentral:rRNA from 1 species
UACGGAGGGUGCAAGCGUUGUCCGGAAUCACUGGACGUAAAGGGCGCGUAGGCGGCUCAUGAAGGCUGUGGUGAAAGUCCGGGGCUCAACCUCGGAUCGGCCGUGGCGACUCGUGGGCUGGAGCACUGUAGAGGCGGGUGGAAUUCCGGGUGUAGCGGUGGAAUGCGUAGAGAUCCGGAAGAACACCAGUGGCGAAGGCGGCCCGCUGGGCAGUGGCUGACGCUGAGGCGCGAAAGCGUGGGGAGCAAACAGG